GAUGAACGCUGACAGAAUGCUUAACACAUGCAAGACCACUUGAAUUUGGGUUUUUAACUUCGGUUUGGGUGGCGGACGGGUGAGUAACGCGUAAAGAACUUGCCUCACAGCUAGGGACAACAUUUGGAAACGAAUGCUAAUACCUAAUAUUAUGAUAAUAGGGCAUCCUAUAAUUAUGAAAGCUAUAAGCGCUGUGAGAGAGCUUUGCGUCCCAUUAGCUAGUUGGAGAGGUAACGGCUCACCAAGGCGAUGAUGGGUAGCCGGCCUGAGAGGGUGAUAGGCCACAAGGGGACAGGGGAGCGGCCCUUACUCAUACGGGAGGAAGCAGUGGGAAAUAUUGGAAGAUGGACCAAGAGUCUGAUGCAGCAAUUCUGUGUGCACGAUGAAGUUUUUCGGAAUGUAAAGUGCUUUCAGUUGGGAAGAAAGAAAUGACGGUACCAACAGAAGAAGUGACGGCUAAAUACGUG
rnacentral:rRNA from 1 species